rnacentral:rRNA from 1 species
UUGGAGGGCAAGUCUGGUGCCAGCAGCCGCGGUAAUUCCAGCUCCAAUAGCGUAUAUUAAAGUUGUUGCAGUUAAAAAGCUCGUAGUUGAAUUUCGGGAUUCGUCCAUUGGUCAGGCUUAACUGUCUGUACUGAUGUGUCGGAUUUCUACCUUCUGAAGAACCUUCAUGCCAUUAAUUUGGUGUGUUGGGGAAUCAGGACUGUUACUUUGAAAAAAUUAGAGUGUUUAAAGCAGGCUAACGUCUGAAUACAUUAGCAUGGAAUAAUGAAAUAGGACGGUACGGUUCUAUUUUGUUGGUUUCUAGGAUCGCCGUAAUGAUUAAUAGGGAUAGUUGGG